CAGCCGCCGCGGUAAUACCGAGGGUGCGAGCGUUAAUCGGAUUUACUGGGCGUAAAGCGUGCGUAGGCGGCUUCUUAAGUCGGAUGUGAAAUCCCUGAGCUUAACUUAGGAAUUGCAUUCGAUACUGGGAAGCUAGAGUAUGGGAGAGGAUGGUAGAAUUCCAGGUGUAGCGGUGAAAUGCGUAGAGAUCUGGAGGAAUACCGAUGGCGAAGGCAGCCAUCUGGCCUAAUACUGACGCUGAGGUACGAAAGCAUGGGGAGCAAACAGGAUUAGAUACCCCCGUAGUCCAUGUCUCUUAUAC
rnacentral:rRNA from 1 species